rnacentral:rRNA from 1 species
UGGGGAAUAUUGCACAAUGGGCGCAAGCCUGAUGCAGCGACGCCGCGUGGGGGAUGACGGCCUUCGGGUUGUAAACUCCUUUCGCCAGGGACGAAGCGUUUUGUGACGGUACCUGGAGAAGAAGCACCGGCUAACUACGUGCCAGCAGCCGCGGUAAUACGUAGGGUGCAAGCGUUGUCCGGAAUUACUGGGCGUAAAGAGCUCGUAGGUGGUUUGUCACGUCGUCUGUGAAAUUCCACAGCUUAACUGUGGGCGUGCAGGCGAUACGGGCUGACUUGAGCACUGUAGGGGUAACUGGAAUUCCUGGUGUAGCGGUGAAAUGCGCAGAUAUCAGGAGGAACACCGAUGGCGAAGGCAGGUUACUGGGCAGUUACUGACGCUGAGGAGCGAAAGCAUGGGUAGCAAACAGGAUUAGAUACCCUGGUAGUCCAUGCCGUAAACGGUGGGCGCUAGGUGUAGGGGCCUUUUGGGGUUUCUGUGCCGUAGCUAACGCAUUAAGCGCCCCGCCUGGGGAGUACGGCCGCAAGGCUA